CCUACGGGCGGCAGCAGUGGGGAAUAUUGGACAAUGGGGGCAACCCUGAUCCAGCCAUGCCGCGUGUGUGAAGAAGGCCCUCGGGUUGUAAAGCACUUUCAGUGGGGAAGAACGCCUGGUGGUUAAUACCCAUCAGGAAAGACAUCACUCACAGAAGAAGCACCGGCUAACUCCGUGCCAGCAGCCGCGGUAAUACGGAGGGUGCGAGCGUUAAUCGGAAUUACUGGGCGUAAAGCGCGCGUAGGUGGCUUGAUAAGCCGGUUGUGAAAGCCCCGGGCUCAACCUGGGAACGGCAUCCGGAACUGUCAAGCUAGAGUGCAGGAGAGGAAGGUAGAAUUCCCGGUGUAGCGGUGAAAUGCGUAGAGAUCGGGAGGAAUACCAGUGGCGAAGGCGGCCUUCUGGACUGACACUGACACUGAGGUGCGAAAGCGUGGGUAGCAAACAGGAUUAGAUACCCCUGUAGUC
rnacentral:rRNA from 1 species